GGGUUGUGAGGUUAAGCGACUAAGCGUACACGGUGGAUGCCCUGGCAGUCAGAGGCGAUGAAGGACGUGCUAAUCUGCGAUAAGCGUCGGUAAGGUGAUAUGAACCGUUAUAACCGGCGAUUUCCGAAUGGGGAAACCCAGUGUGUUUCGACACACUAUCAUUAACUGAAUCCAUAGGUUAAUGAGGCGAACCGGGGGAACUGAAACAUCUAAGUACCCCGAGGAAAAGAAAUCAACCGAGAUUCCCCCAGUAGCGGCGAGCGAACGGGGAGCAGCCCAGAGCCUGAAUCAGUGUGUGUGUUAGUGGAAGCGUCUGGAAAGGCGCGCGAUACAGGGUGACAGCCCCGUACACAAAAAUGCACAUGCUGUGAGCUCGAUGAGUAGGGCGGGACACGUGGUAUCCUGUCUGAAUAUGGGGGGACCAUCCUCCAAGGCUAAAUACUCCUGACUGACCGAUAGUGAACCAGUACCGUGAGGGAAAGGCGAAAAGAACCCCGGCGAGGGGAGUGAAAAAGAACCUGAAACCGUGUACGUACAAGCAGUGGGAGCACGCUUAGGCGUGUGACUGCGUACCUUUUGUAUAAUGGGUCAGCGACUUAUAUUCUGUAGCAAGGUUAACCGAAUAGGGGAGCCGAAGGGAAACCGAGUCUUAACUGGGCGUUAAGUUGCAGGGUAUAGACCCGAAACCCGGUGAUCUAGCCAUGGGCAGGUUGAAGGUUGGGUAACACUAACUGGAGGACCGAACCGACUAAUGUUGAAAAAUUAGCGGAUGACUUGUGGCUGGGGGUGAAAGGCCAAUCAAACCGGGAGAUAGCUGGUUCUCCCCGAAAGCUAUUUAGGUAGCGCCUCGUGAAUUCAUCUCCGGGGGUAGAGCACUGUUUCGGCAAGGGGGUCAUCCCGACUUACCAACCCGAUGCAAACUGCGAAUACCGGAGAAUGUUAUCACGGGAGACACACGGCGGGUGCUAACGUCCGUCGUGAAGAGGGAAACAACCCAGACCGCCAGCUAAGGUCCCAAAGUCAUGGUUAAGUGGGAAACGAUGUGGGAAGGCCCAGACAGCCAGGAUGUUGGCUUAGAAGCAGCCAUCAUUUAAAGAAAGCGUAAUAGCUCACUGGUCGAGUCGGCCUGCGCGGAAGAUGUAACGGGGCUAAACCAUGCACCGAAGCUGCGGCAGCGACGCUUAUGCGUUGUUGGGUAGGGGAGCGUUCUGUAAGCCUGUGAAGGUGUACUGUGAGGUAUGCUGGAGGUAUCAGAAGUGCGAAUGCUGACAUAAGUAACGAUAAAGCGGGUGAAAAGCCCGCUCGCCGGAAGACCAAGGGUUCCUGUCCAACGUUAAUCGGGGCAGGGUGAGUCGACCCCUAAGGCGAGGCCGAAAGGCGUAGUCGAUGGGAAACAGGUUAAUAUUCCUGUACUUGGUGUUACUGCGAAGGGGGGACGGAGAAGGCUAUGUUGGCCGGGCGACGGUUGUCCCGGUUUAAGCGUGUAGGCUGGUUUUCCAGGCAAAUCCGGAAAAUCAAGGCUGAGGCGUGAUGACGAGGCACUACGGUGCUGAAGCAACAAAUGCCCUGCUUCCAGGAAAAGCCUCUAAGCAUCAGGUAACAUCAAAUCGUACCCCAAACCGACACAGGUGGUCAGGUAGAGAAUACCAAGGCGCUUGAGAGAACUCGGGUGAAGGAACUAGGCAAAAUGGUGCCGUAACUUCGGGAGAAGGCACGCUGAUAUGUAGGUGAAGUCCCUCGCGGAUGGAGCUGAAAUCAGUCGAAGAUACCAGCUGGCUGCAACUGUUUAUUAAAAACACAGCACUGUGCAAACACGAAAGUGGACGUAUACGGUGUGACGCCUGCCCGGUGCCGGAAGGUUAAUUGAUGGGGUCAGCGCAAGCGAAGCUCUUGAUCGAAGCCCCGGUAAACGGCGGCCGUAACUAUAACGGUCCUAAGGUAGCGAAAUUCCUUGUCGGGUAAGUUCCGACCUGCACGAAUGGCGUAAUGAUGGCCAGGCUGUCUCCACCCGAGACUCAGUGAAAUUGAACUCGCUGUGAAGAUGCAGUGUACCCGCGGCAAGACGGAAAGACCCCGUGAACCUUUACUAUAGCUUGACACUGAACAUUGAGCCUUGAUGUGUAGGAUAGGUGGGAGGCUUUGAAGUGUGGACGCCAGUCUGCAUGGAGCCGACCUUGAAAUACCACCCUUUAAUGUUUGAUGUUCUAACGUGGACCCGUAAUCCGGGUUGCGGACAGUGUCUGGUGGGUAGUUUGACUGGGGCGGUCUCCUCCUAAAGAGUAACGGAGGAGCACGAAGGUUGGCUAAUCCUGGUCGGACAUCAGGAGGUUAGUGCAAUGGCAUAAGCCAGCUUGACUGCGAGCGUGACGGCGCGAGCAGGUGCGAAAGCAGGUCAUAGUGAUCCGGUGGUUCUGAAUGGAAGGGCCAUCGCUCAACGGAUAAAAGGUACUCCGGGGAUAACAGGCUGAUACCGCCCAAGAGUUCAUAUCGACGGCGGUGUUUGGCACCUCGAUGUCGGCUCAUCACAUCCUGGGGCUGAAGUAGGUCCCAAGGGUAUGGCUGUUCGCCAUUUAAAGUGGUACGCGAGCUGGGUUUAGAACGUCGUGAGACAGUUCGGUCCCUAUCUGCCGUGGGCGCUGGAGAACUGAGGGGGGCUGCUCCUAGUACGAGAGGACCGGAGUGGACGCAUCACUGGUGUUCGGGUUGUCAUGCCAAUGGCACUGCCCGGUAGCUAAAUGCGGAAGAGAUAAGUGCUGAAAGCAUCUAAGCACGAAACUUGCCCCGAGAUGAGUUCUCCCUGACCCUUUAAGGGUCCUGAAGGAACGUUGAAGACGACGACGUUGAUAGGCCGGGUGUGUAAGCGCAGCGAUGCGUUGAGCUAACCGGUACUAAUGAACCGUGAGGCUUAACCUUACAACGCCGAAGGUGUUU
rnacentral:rRNA from 1 species